UACGUAGGAGACGAGCGUUGUCCGGAAUUACUGGGCGUAAAGCGCGUGUAGGCGGAUGGGCAAGUCUGCUGUGAAAGCUCCUGGCUUAACCGGGAGUGGUCGGUGGAAACUGCCAAUCUGGAGGACGGUAGAGGUAGGUAGAAUUCCCGGUGUAGUGGUGAAAUGCGUAGAGAUCGGGAGGAAUACCUGUGGCGAAGGCGGCCUAGUGGGCCGGACCUGACGCUGAGACGCGAAGGCGUGGGGAGCGAACGGG
rnacentral:rRNA from 1 species